UAAGGAUUAUGUGGCCAUCAGAGAGGCAGUGCUGGCCGGCCCGAGGUUGACGGCUCAGACCAACAUCCAGCUCUUUGAAUUGAAUUGAAGACUCAGUGGGACGCCAGAAUCCACAUCAGGCCAGAACCACACUGAGGUCCGCCACAACCAGCCAGAAAUGCAGGUUGACGACUGUUCCAGUCUCCUCCUCCUUCUUCAUCCAUCAGCUUCAGCUCGUACCAAACAAAUUGGUUCUAAUGAGAACCAAAAGAACUGACCACACUUCAGUCCUGACACUGGCUCCCAGUACGUCACAGGAUGAACUGGCCCAACGUUCCUGUCAGAUUUAAUGAAGUUCAGCUGUGAUCCAAACAUCACCUCAGCUGUAGCCCUGAGCCGGCUCCAUGUACACCCGGUUGUGAUUCUGGUUG